UGGGGAAUAUUGGACAAUGGGCGCAAGCCUGAUCCAGCCAUGCCGCGUGAGUGAUGAAGGCCCUAGGGUUGUAAAGCUCUUUCACCGGUGAAGAUAAUGACGGUAACCGGAGAAGAAGCCCCGGCUAACUUCGUGCCAGCAGCCGUGGUAAUACGAAGGGGGCUAGCGUUGUUCGGAUUUACUGGGCGUAAAGCGCACGUAGGCGGACUUUUAAGUCAGGGGUGAAAUCCCGGGGCUCAACCCCGGAACUGCCUUUGAUACUGGAAGUCUUGAGUAUGGUAGAGGUGAGUGGAAUUCCGAGUGUAGAGGUGAAAUUCGUAGAUAUUCGGAGGAACACCAGUGGCGAAGGCGGCUCACUGGACCAUUACUGACGCUGAGGUGCGAAAGCGUGGGGUGCAAACAGG
rnacentral:rRNA from 1 species